UUUUGCUUUUAUCAUAUACCGGUAAUAGAGAUUUCAACCUUGAUAUAGUAUGUAAAUUUGUGUUUGUAUGGCUACCUAUAAAUUGAUUAUGACUUAACGAUUUACUCAACCUAAGUCCAAACAAACCUAGUUCAACCUAAUAGCAUAACGUUCCUACAUUUACAUUCGCAUUCCUCUCACAAUGCCGUGUGGUCGUUUAAGACAAAAUCACUAAAUUUGCCACCAAAGUUCUGGAAACUGACAACAAAAUAGAUAAGUUAAAUUUUAAAUGUAAAGUCUCAUUCAAACGCAGUCUAAGGCGCGUAGCUUGUUGAUAUAAUAUGCGCCUAGUCCCAGUACCCUAUCUGUACAUCUGUUAUGGAUAUCGUUAUGAUAGUUGGCAGGCAUAUGGAGGCUGCUCAAAGGACAUGCCAUGAUCGCGCGCGCGUGCAGGCAUCGUUAUCUUAAUGCAACAACGAUAAUGGCUUCCAAAUGUAUGUCGCAUAUCCUAAACUAGAUCGUUGCUCUGUUGAUCUAGAUGAUUGUCACAACACAAUCUGUUUCUGGGGUUGAGCUUUAUCUAUGGCCUACAGUAGAGUAGAAAACAGAAGUGUCAUGAACUGUAAGUGUAUAGUGGCGGCGGCGCGCUCGAACGUUCGAUAUUGUUUUUAUCUAUAGGCAACAUAUUGAUCAUUCAUCGUAGAUGAUACGUCUCCCCGAAGUACAAAGCUGGCUUAUUUAAUGAUCCCACUGCAUGUGAUUACGGGCAUUAUUGUCAGAAUGUUCGAAUCGCGCACGGUUGAUUACAUAUACAUGAUAUUCAUACUUGUGGAAAUAAUAAUCAUCCUGCAACGCUUAAAGAAAAGAGGCGACUCAACUGUCCAUCAUGAAGGUUGGCUCUGGCAUGAUGAUACACCAUCAGCUAUAAAUGGCGACGACAGCAUGUAUUCGGGCACCCCACCUAGUGUUGUAUUCGUAAAUGAGCGAAAUUUUCGCUGAGCUUUUUCACGGGUAGGUGUGUGAUUCACAUGUUUUCAGUCCAUUCAACGAGUUUGACGAGUGUUCAGCAGAGAUAAUGGAUACCUUCUAGGGGAAACUUGCAGAUAGGACAUUAACAGCAAAGGCCGUAGCCAAGAUGGACUAGUGCAAAAAACACUUCUCUCCGAAUUCACACCUGGCCAGAACAUCAAUUAAUUGAUUCAAAUUUCCUACCCCUCAAUGUGGUCACUUAUUCGAACUAGGAUUUUAUUCGUAAUGAAGUCUACUAAAUACACAGCGCGCAUCUGGAACGAUAAGUCGUGUCUUCUCCAAUAACUGACGUGGGCUUCCAGCUUCAGGUAAGGUCUUCAGUAGAGACGGAAAUUACUCAAAGCUGCUUGGCCACUUAGGCGCGAUUGAAAAUAGAGAAAAAGAUAGAACAGAAAUAAAGCACAGCCAUCAGCAAAUGUGCGAUUUGCAAAUGCGCUGAUAUUGUAACAAACGCAAAUGAUCAAGAGCAAUGUUUUCCAUUAUCGCUAACUCGAAGUGCUCGAGACAGCGGCGAAAUGCGAAUUUUCUAAAUAAUACAGGUUGAAGGCUGUUGCAGGCAAAGCUGCACAGAUGGUCGACACGCGCGUUCACAAUGUGAAAAGGGAGUUUUAUGAAAAAUGCGUGUUUGUCAUAAAGAGUAAUUGUUUGAUAUUGAUACUACGCAGCCGUGAAUUUCAGGGGAGUGAAGCGCAGCUAGGAAUGAAUGAGUUCCAAUUUUGUUUGAAACAUUCGGGCGGACGUACGCCGACUGCAUGGAACAUUCGUCCUUCUAUCAAUGAGGAAAAUAUUUGCCAGCGCACGAAUUGCAAAUUCUGGCCAAUUUUACAGUCGAAAUAGGAGAGCAACAUGCGUGCUUUAGAAAUUCGUUUUGCCUUCGUCAUCUCUAGAAGCUAUAAUAAUAAUAAAAUUGAUCAUCCAUGUUCCAUUUCUCAACCGCUAACAUAAAACUAAAAGCUAAGGUAAAACAAAAAAAUACAAAAUUGCAGAGCGCGUGUGCUGUCUUAGUCUCACAAUUAUGUACAAGUACAACUACGAAAGCGGUAUACGCAGACCAGAUAUACGUCAGAAUCUAACCCGUAUGGAGAAUUCCCCAAAAUAUUUUGUAAGACUAUUUUUUAAGCUGGCGUAUGAGGCAACUGGCAACGAGACUGUUCAGAAAAUGUUUAACUUCGAGGUGACCAGAUAAUGAUCGCAGCCUGUCGUAGAUCCAAAACGCGACACCAAACGCUUACUUACGGUUUAGGAUAUUUAUGGGUAUUGUGGUUUGUGGUAAGCUCGUUGCAGAACGGUAAAUUGGUUAUAGUUGCUUAGUGCAGAUUGCAGUCAACAGAGUUGACAAGGUCCUUUAUCAAUGAAUUGCUUGAAUACGGUUAGGCGUAAUAGUAGAAUAUAUGUAAGGGUACAAAUAAUGCAAAAUAUUAAUGGAGGUCUGUCUAGAACAGGAGGGCUAGGUCGAUUAAAUUUUGCCUUAGGAAGUCUCGUGCGCUUCUAUGAUUACGUGUUGCUGCUCCUGUGCUAUGUGUAGUAGAGUUAUCAGUAUUUGGCAAAUAAAAAUUUUAAAACAUAUUUGAAAAGCUACUUAGCGGCCCACAAAGCUUGAGUAACUUUUAUGCUAUAUGAAAAAGAUUAACGAUAUGUUUGUAUUUGAGGUGAGUCAGUUCGUACAUUCUUUUGCUAGUGCUUUUAGUUAGUUUUAUACUUACACCGGGCAUACGAUAUACAAUCCCAUGAUACGAUUUCAUAACAUGUGCUUCGAAGAGUCUCAUAUUGAGCCAAUAGGGAAUGCUUUCGUACAGUGUGUUUUUACUACUUUUUGAUGGAUUCUAUCAACUGCGUUAGCUUCGAGAGGUACACAAAACCACCGAGCUACGAUUUUUAGCAUUAAAUAAGAUCCUCGUUUUUGAAAUCAUUAUUCCCUGGCGGCAUCCAAUUAGCUAACAGCCGUAGAUAAGCGUAAUAUCGUGCGAAUAUUAACCGGAUUUCGUAGGUCAGUGGAGCGUAGCGUAAAGGUUAAUCGAAUUGUUCGACUCACUAAAUACUUACCACAAUUGAAUCACGAACUAGCAAGACGAUGGAUUUUGGUAAAUACCUCAUUAAGCAACGCGUUUUCAUCAUUGAAUAGCUAUGUUGGGAAGUCAGGGAAUACAAAACAUACAAUAAGUUUUUUUUUUUAUAUAUUCAGGUAUAUGGGCUUAAAAUAAGCACAUUUUUGAAGUUACUAUGCGGUAUGGCACAUAGGCUCGUGGGUAUGCGUAUCCAGGUAUAGAUGAAAUGUUUGUUAUGUAAUGCAUCUUGCGGAACAAUUGAAUUGAACUAGGACUUUCUAUUAUCAAAAGAAUACCGAGGGUUUAGAUUGAUUGGCUGUACUCGAAAAAUGGUAAGCACCUUAUUAGAAAGGUGUGAUAGUGCUAAUCUCGUGGGCGAUGUCGAACUCUAAAAAUCGUAUCGCGAAUAGUGCGCCUCUACAGUUGUAAGUGAAUCUAUUGCCGUAAUAAAUGUGUGUUCAAAUUGUAAAAUAAGGUACAAAUAGGUUCAUAGCUAGAUUUUAAGUGUAUGGAGUAUGUCGACCCGACAAGAAGACCAUCUCGAGAUAACAUUGUGUUCAACUCCAAAGGCCUAACAUUAGUGCUUGCCAACGAUUUCAUUUAUAAUUGCUAUGUGUGUGUGUAUGUAAUGAAAUGUGAGAUGGUGUGCUUUUCUGACCAUGCUCGACUUUGGGUGAAUGUAAAAUGACUUAGUAAAGGAUGGAUGAUAUGCACGUUCGCCCGCUUGGAUUCAGUUACAUUCUGCGAAUCCCCAAGAAAGUGGUAAAAAAAUGUGAAAAGAGUCAAGGGCUUACGUAUAUAAAUCUAGACAAUUAUGUGACGUAUGUGAUCAUCCGACAGCAUAUGGCUAAUGUUGACCUGUACGAAGCACACACCAUUCUGACAGAAUAGCUUCAUAAUUAUUUAUGAAACUAAUUCUGUAGAAAUAGCGUGCGUAAGGACGUCGCUUACGUGCAUGAAAACUCGUAUAGAAAUUGAAAAAGGUGGAUGCGCAAAAAAUGCAACUUGAUUGAUACGUUUAUUCCAAAUUUUUGUUUACGUAUUACCUACAAAGGAAGGAAUAUGAUUUAAACUAUUAUUAAUUUAAACUAUAUUAAAUCUAACCUUAAAUAUGGAUGGACUGAUUAGAAACCAUAAUGUAGCUCUUAAUGAUUUCGAUAGUCUAAUGCUAAAUAAAAGGUGCAGUGUAAAUAAUGAACAAAAAUAUUUGCAAGAUGAAAACUCGAUCACUUACAUCAGUUGUACAGAUACGUCGCGUUAGCUAAUUUACAAAAGGCCGGGACCGCUGGUCAAAAGCCGACGUUACGUACCUACAUUAUGCCUUACAUUAGAACCAUACUCCAGAGCCGACCUAUGUACGUUUUGCGAUUGGACGUAAGCCUUUCGAAUUUACGGCAUAUCUUUUUUAUGAUAGUACUUAUUCGUUCCAUACGAUUUUAUAUACGAUAGUAAAUAUUAGAUAAUAAAUAGUAUUGAUCGUAAUACUGUGGUCAAA
rnacentral:lncRNA from 1 species